rnacentral:rRNA from 1 species
UCCCUAUGGGGUGCACCAGGCGCGAAACCUCCGCAAUGUGAGCAAUCGCGACGGGGGGAUCCCAAGUGCCAUUCUUAACGGGAUGGCUUUUCUUAAGUGUAAAGAGCUUUUGGAAUAAGAGCUGGCAAGACCGGUGCCAGCCGCCGCGGUAAUUCA